rnacentral:rRNA from 1 species
UAUGUAGGUGGCGAGCGUUGUCCGGAUUUACUGGGCGUAAAGAGCGCGCAGGCGGUCGUGCAAGUCGCGUGUGAAAGCCCCCGGCUCAACUGGGGAGGGUCACGCGAUACUGCUCGACUCGAAGGCAGGAGAGGGAAGUGGAAUUCCCGGUGUAGUGGUGAAAUGCGUAGAUAUCGGGAGGAACACCAGUGGCGAAGGCGACUUCCUGGCCUGUUCUUGACGCUGAGGCGCGAAAGCUAGGGGAGCAAACGGG